AUCUUACCUGUUGCUUCCGUACCGCGUGGACUUCGGUCCCCUCAUGCUGUACUUCGGUACGGUUCCAGAGUGCCGGUGCGGAAGGUAUACAUCAAACUCUUGCAUUCCAUGUCUUCUGUCUGAACUGUUAAUAACAAAAGUUUAAAACUUUCAACAACGGAUCUCUUGGUUCUCGCAUCGAUGAAGAACGCAGCGAAAUGCGAUAAGUAGUGUGAAUUGCAGAAUUCAGUGAAUCAUCGAAUCUUUGAACGCACAUUGCGCCUCCUGGUAUUCCGGGAGGCAUGCCUGUUCGAGCGUCAUUAAAAACCACUCAAGCUCUUUUGCUUGGUCAUGGAAGAAGAGUCCGCUUGCCGGUCUCCCUUUCGAAAUGCAAUGGCGGAAGGUCUCUUGUACCCAGCGUAGUAAUAACUUUUCGCUUUGUGCAUUGAUUCAUUCCUGCCGUCAAACCCCCAAUUUUCUUAGGUUGACCUCGGAUCAGGUAGG
rnacentral:rRNA from 1 species